rnacentral:tRNA from 1 species
GAGCCCGUAACUCAAUCGGUUAGAGUGAUUCUCUAAUAAAGAAUUGGUUGUCUGUUCAAAUCGGAUCGGGCUCA